UCCAGACUCCUACGGGAGGCAGCAGUGGGGAAUAUUGGGCAAUGGGGGAAACCCUGACCCAGCGACGCCGCGUGAGGGAAGAAGGUUUUCGGAUUGUAAACCUCUUUCCUUGGUGACGAUAAUGACGGUAGCCAAGGAGGAAGCCACGGCUAACUACGUGCCAGCAGCCGCGGUAAUACGUAGGUGGCAAGCGUUGUCCGGAUUUACUGGGUGUAAAGGGCGUGCAGCCGGAGAGACAAGUCAGAUGUGAAAUCCACGGGCUCAACCCGUGAACUGCAUUUGAAACUGUUUCCCUUGAGUGUCGGAGAGGUAAUCGGAAUUCCUUGUGUAGCGGUGAAAUGCGUAGAUAUAAGGAAGAACACCAGUGGCGAAGGCGGAUUACUGGACGAUAACUGACGGUGAGGCGCGAAAGCGUGGGGAGCAAACAGGAUUAGAUACCCCAGUA
rnacentral:rRNA from 1 species